CUCCGUGCAGUCAAAUUAUAUUCCGCGCGCGAAUUCACUCGCUUAAGGCCUUAAACCGUUCCCACAUUUUCAAUGGUCAGCAAGGAGGCCGGUCAGCAAGGGUGGCAGAACGGAGAGAGGGAUCGAUGGAGAAGAAGCUAAGGAAGAGAUCAUACAGGAGAGUGGAGAGGAGGGUGGAGAGGAGGGUGGAGGAGCAGAGCUUAUUGCUGAGGUUGAAGGAGAUGAAGCGAGCGAGAGUCUGGUGAGUGCGAGUUUAGCAUCGGUGUUCCGGUGAGCCUCGGUUUUAAUCAGGGCCCAAACCCAUGCUUCCUCUUCGCAUGAAUCGGUAGAUGAAGUGCAGGGUGGCGAUGGAGGUUAGUAGCAUAUUUCAUCGGAUGGCAUCCUUGACAGCGACAAGUAGAAGCGGCAGAUUUGAAAUUGAUUAGGUAGGAAGUUGGAAUUAGGGUAGACAUGAGGGAGUGAGAAGUCUGGGAGUCGCGUGUGACUUAUAAGGUUGGGGCUGAAAGCAGAAUCCUUGAGGGAGUGUUUGCUUGGUUCGUUCUCUCUUUUUCAAUGGUUUUCCCUAUCCCCCCCGUUUGGCUCCAUCAACAUUCUUAUACCAAUUAGCGCGCCUACCCCCUAUCUCGUCUCCAGAGGCUAGCCCAAAAAGUACGGCCACAGAGUUUUCUAGUUGAUCCAUCUCUGACAAAUAAGAUCUCUUAUUGGUAGCAGAGCAAAUCCUGAAUUGCAAAGAAAACGAUCUGCCUUUGUUGGGCAUUUCUUCAUUGCCAAAGUUAGACUUCAAAUGCCGCAUGAGGACAUGAAACGAGCAAUAUCUACAUUUUAUGGUGGUUGUUUAUGGAAUGGAGGCUACUACAAACAAGAGUGGACAUAUGGUGGAAGGAGUUGUACAAGCAACAAGUGGUGGAGUUGAGAAAGGUUGAAAACAAUCUUAAGUUCAAAAAAGUAGCCGAUUCUUGUGUUGGUUCCUCUGGUAAGGUAUAUCAAUCACCUCGGAUCUUACUUCUCUGCAGGUUGCUGCUGGAGAACUUGAAUUAAAUCAUGAAUGUAAUUUGAUGCACUGGUCUCCUGAGGACUUUGAAACUAAAUUAUAGGAUUGGGGGUUUUUUGUGCCAUAUUUGAUUGGGAGUAUCUCUUUGAUAGUUUUGGCAGUUGGAAGCACUAGCCUAGGGGUAUUCAUUGGAUAUUGGAAAAGAGCAUGUCAAUCUGGUUGAUGAAAGGGUGCAGAAGCUGAUAUACAGUGGGCAGCUUGAUGUGAAGGAACUAGACAGGUUUGUAGACAUCUAGAUAUCAAUUUCCAAGGGGCAUAUGAGCUUUGAAGAAGACAUGAGAGUCUUUGAAUAAGAGCAGAAAGCAUCUAAAUCUGGUUACUAUUUUGAUCAACAAAAAAUACAAAAAGAAAUAGAAGAAAACAUGAGAGAGCAGUUUGAAGAACACAUUAAGUCCACGAGAACAACUUUAUUAAGUCAUCCAUCAAGACAAUCAAGAAGACAGUGAAGAUAUGAAGCAUUGUCUACUUAUUACUAUGUAUAUGAGAAGACAAGAAGAGGAAGAGAGUUCGAAGACUGUAGUAUACUAUGCACGUAGACUAAUCAAAGUAAAUUUUCUUUUCUUUUUUUUUUUUCUUUCUUGUAAGACUAAAGUUCCAAAGGUUGUCAAGAAAAGAAACAAGUUAUUUUGUAUUGAAUUUUAAUUUGGAUGAAUAAA